rnacentral:rRNA from 1 species
GACGAACGCUGGCGGCGUGCUUAACACAUGCAAGUCGAACGGGCCCGCCCCUGUUUUUGGGGGUGGGUUGAGUGGCGAACGGGUGAGUAUCACGUGAGUAACCUGCCCCCUGCUCCUGGAUAACUGCUUGAAAGGGCGGCUAAUACGGGGUGUGCCGGCUGGUCCGCAUGGGCCUGGUCGGGAUAGUUUCAUCUUCGGGUGUUUCGGUGGGGGAUGGGCUCGCGGCCUAUCAGCUUGUUGGGGGGGUGAUGGCCCACCAAGGCGGUGACGGGUAGCCGGCCUGAGAGGGUGGGCGGCCACACUGGGACUGAGACACGGCCCAGACUCCUGCGGGAGGCAGCAGUGGGGGGUAUUGCACAAUGGGCGGUAGCCUGAUGCAGCGACGUCGCGUGAGGGAUGGAGGCCGUCGGGUUGUGAACCUCUUUCUCCGGUGGUGAAGGCCCUGUCCGUUGCGGCGGGGUUGACGGUAGCCGGGUAUGAAGCGCCGGCUAACUACGUG